CUGGGCACUGCCCAUAUGAGCGUCAGGGAAACAUCAGUCCAGUCUCUCUUCCAAAGGAAAGAAGCAUGGAAAGCACUUUCUACCCAGUGAGACUUAUCACAUUUAAGAGUCACAAACAGCAUGGGGCUAGAAUUGCUCCAUUCCUUGACACCAAGUGCCAUGACAACUACCAGAUCCACCAGGUCUCUGCACAGCCACUCUGCUCAUUACCUGGGGAUAAAUGUAUGUACCAAACACUCAAAGUCUUUAUAAACCUAUUAAAUAUAAAUAACUAAUAUGAUUUGACCCAGAUAGCUGAAUGAAAUAUAUCAUAACACCCAAGCUUAAAAAAAAAGCCUAAGUGUAAAAGUGUUUAUAUUUCUAUAUCUCAUGAAGACUAUGUAAAGUUGCUACAAUUAGUUCAUCAGUUGUAUUUAUGUUUUAAU
ensembl:lncRNA